rnacentral:rRNA from 1 species
UAGACCGUCUGGGGUUCCUAUGAGAACUUAUUGGCGCAGCUACAGCGUCAUUAGGUUGACCGCCUGAGUAAGUACGGCCGCAAGGUUAAAACUCAAAUGAAUUGACGGGGGCCCGCACAAGCGGAGGAGCAUGUGGUUUAAUUCGAAGCAACGCGAAGAACCUUACCUGGCCUUGACAUGCUGAGAACUUUCCAGAGAUGGAUUGGUGCCUUCGGGAGCUCAGACACAUGUGCUGCAUGGCUGUCGUCAGCUCGUGUCGUGAGAUGUUGGGUUAAGUCCCGUAACGAGCGCAACCCUUGUCCUUAGUUACCAGCACGUAAUGGUGGGCACUCUAAGGAGACUGCCGGUGACAAACCGGAGGAAGGUGGGGAUGACGUCUAGUCAUCAUGGCCCUUACGGCCAGGGCUACGCACGUGCUACAAUGGUCGAUACAAAGGGUUGCCAAGCCGCGAGGUGAAGCUAAUCCCAUAAAACCGAUCGUAAUCCGGAUCGCAGUCUGCAACUCGACUGCGUGAAUUCGGAAUCGCUAGUAAUCGUGAAUCAAAAUGUCACGGUGAAUACGUUCCCGGGCCUUGUACACACCGCCCGUCACACCAUGGGAGUGGGUUGCUCCAAAAGUACCUAGUCUAACCUUCGGGGGGACGGUUACCACGGAGUGAUUCAUGACUGGGGUGAAGUCGUAACAAGGUAACCGUA